CAACAAUGCCGAGCAACGAGACGCAGCGACGACUAACGAGAAAUAUUUUUAUUUUCUGCUUGCAACUGUACCGUCCAGAGUGCACACGGUUCCACGGUAUUUGGUGGCUGUUUGUUUUCCACUGUAAGAAGAACGACUAUACAAACCAGUUGGAGGCUCGCUUCAUUGAUCACAACGGUUCCACCGUGUUCGUUGCCUGUAUGUUUGAAGGAUACAAAGUACAACGCUUGCACGUUGGCGAAGACGUCUUCGGUGAGUCCUUCCUUCCUUUUUAUUCAUGGGAAAGUCACAGACAACAAUAGCUAAAGUAACACAUUGUUAGAGGUAACUACAUUUGUCUUAAAUUGGAUAGAUUACUUGUUCCCACACCUUUUCGAACAAGUAAACUGGC